AAUAUCAUUUUUGAAGACCUAUCCAUAGAUACCCCACACGUAUGGGUUUGAUGAAAAACAUUUUUUUGAGUUUCAAUUUUGACGUAUUAAAAAAAAACUACUUACUAGAUCUCGUUCAAACCAAUUUUCGGUGGAAGUUUGCAUAAUAAUGUACAUCAUAUAUUUUUUUUAGUUUUAUCAUUCUCUUAUUUUAGAAGUUACAGGGGGGGGACACACAUUUUUCCACUUUGGAACUGUCUCUCGCGCAAACUAUUCAUUUUAGAAAAAAAUGAUAUUAGAAACCUCAAUAUCAUUUUUGAAGACAUAUCCAUAGAUACCCCACACGUAUGGGUUUGAUGAAAAAAAAUUUUUUGAGUUUGAGGUCUAAGUAUGGGGAACCCCCAAAA